UACGAAGGGGGCUAGCGUUGUUCGGAAUUACUGGGCGUAAAGCGCGUGUAGGCGGGUCUUUAAGUCAGGGGUGAAAUGGCCAAGGCUCAACCUUGGAACUGCCUUUGGAUACUGGAGAUCUUGAGUCCGGGAGAGGUGAGUGGAACUGCGAGUGUAGCGGUGAAUUCGUAGAUAAUUCGCAAGAACACCAGUGGCGAAGGCGGCCUCACUGGCC
rnacentral:rRNA from 1 species